ACACACAACCAGCACUGCUGGUUAAAAAGCAAUUAAUGUGAUGGUGAAGGAUGUUGGUUCCAAUGAGGUGGAAUCUGUAUGGGUAGAGCAUGGAGGAGGAAUUCCUGAAGUGUGUAUGGGAUGGUUUUCUGGAUCAAUUUGAGGAACCAACUGGGCAGCAGGUCAUCCUAAACUGGCAUUGUAAUCCAAAUAAAAGAAACUACUGUGGUAAGCAGUGUAUGCUUGCUAUAUAUCACAUGACAUCUCAUUGCUCUUGCAAAAACUUGACCUGUUUUUUUGCCUUUGGUUUUCAGCAAGUCUGUCCAAGAUCUAAGCCACAGAGCCAAUGGAUACGACUUGGACCAAUUAAGAAUGCUGUGUAUUUGCUGAUUAUAAUUGAGCCUGUUAGGGAUGACUAUUCACGUAUCUGCCUUGGUCAGGUUUACAGACCUGUAUGUUCCAGUUGGCCCCUGGCUUACAACAUUGCCGUGUUGUAUAUGAAAAUCUGAUAGGAUGCUAAUUAUCUCUGUGCUGGAUCACUUAAGCACACUUCAAAAGGAUUUUGCAUCAUUAGUGGUUUGCAGUGUGAUAGCUGAAAGAAGCUCAAACUUGACAAAUACUAAUCCCUAUUUGUGGGAUGAAAGUGGACCAAAAUUAGCAAAGUUGAUUGGAUUCAUAUAAUACCAUUUACUAUAACUUUGGUCUUAUCAGUGACCUUGUAAAUAGGAUCUGAGCCAUUGCUACACUUCGCAAACUUGAUGUUUAAAUUACAGUAUGUCAUCAUUCUGAGAAAUCAAGGUACACUUUUUUGCUCUGUAAUUGUAAAAAGCCUCAAAUGGCCGAAGGCGGCCACUUCAGUCCUGAAAAGUGCCCAGUCUACCUGUGAUUAUCCUGGAAUGUUAAGGUUUCUCAGAGGGUUGAGUGACUGAUGCUACUUUCAGCAGCAGCACAAAUGGUGGUUGCCCCUAAUUGGUGCUGUCCGCCAACAAGUUAUUCGAUCUAUCGAGUGAAUUCCUGUGCUGGACAUAGAAGCCUUGUGUUGCAAGGACAGGCAGAUUGUAUUCAAUUUCCCUUUCGAACGUUCACAACAGAUAAGGUACUGAGUGUAUCCAACCAGCCUUCACUUGCAAAACUCCAAGCAACAUCCAACUUUUAAAUAUGAUUCUGUAAUUGGACAGUGUUUGUUUGUUUGUCCUGAAUGUUCUAAGAAUUAAACUAAACUAAAGAAUGAGUCAUGGCUUACAGCAAAGUGCACUGUACUAGAAUCUGCAUAUUAAUACACGGACCUUGUUCUUUCAGACAAAAUGUGUACACACAUUGUGCCUAUUUCAACUCAACAAAGUAGGUGCAGCCACCCUCCUGGUCGAAGCACUACCCUAAGGAAUGACCAAAUCAGUCAACUUACCUUGUUUAAAUUUUAAACAAAACUUGGUUGUUAAUGUGAGUUGUAAUCUCGCUGCAUUCUCCAUGGCAACAUCUCCUAUCCAAGUCCAGUUACCAACUAAUCAACACAAGCUCUUCUCAGAUAAUAUAAAAUGUUGUUUCCCUUUGUUAGUAUUCCUAUUCAUGCCCUGAUGAAUACAAGUUGAAAACAUCGGCAAAAUCUUUAGCAAUACUCAAUUUCUGUACUGCUAAAUGAUUCAAUGAUAUUGUAUUGAUUAUCAUUGUAUAAUUUAAAUUUCUUUUAUAUUGAAGCAAUGACCAAACUAUCAUCCAAUGUAGGCUACAAAAUGAUCAGGACAGGCACCUGAAAUAAUAGAGAUCUGAUUACUGAUCAGUAAUGGGUCAGGAGGUUUAGUUUUAAUGUAACAUCUGUCUUUUAGUAAAUGUAGAUAUAGCAGUAUUAAUUUUAAAGUUUACUAUAACUAUGGCUCUGCUUGAGCUUGGAAAUAUAUAUUAACAAAUUGAAAGUCUAUUUUCAAAUGGGUUUGAUUUAAAAUGUUUUGUUGCUUUCAUUAUAUAGACUAUCUUCUGUUACAUUGGUGUUUUAAGCUCCACUACCAAAGAGCGCACAACUUCUUUAAAUGAUCCAAUUUAAUAUUUGGCUUGAGUCAAGUUCUAAGAGCUCAUCAUCGAUACUUUUUUCCUUGCAGGCAAGGAAAUCUUUUAUGCUGCUAUUUUUUUCAAGCCGCCCCUUCUCAUGGUUGUGCCAUAUAGUUGUCACACUUGUUAUUCAGACAGUGAUUGUGCUGUUGGCAAUCUAUGUGCCAAAUAUUCAAAAUAUCUUUGGUGUAGUUGGUUCCACAACCUCAACAGCUUUACUAUUUAUCUACCCUGGACUCUUUUACUUGCAAAUAAGCAGCGAAUCUUUAAAAUCCUUAAGGAAACUUAAGGCUCUAGGAUUGAUUAUUCUAGGCAUUCUCAUUGGGGCAGUUAGUUUGCCUAUGAUCAUCAUAACCUGGCUGCACAGUGAAAAUUGAGCCUAAUCAAUGUAAUUUUCAGAAGUGAAAUUACAAAACUCAGGAAAUCCAUCAGCUGAACAGGGAAAUCACCAUUAUAACCAUGUAGGUUCUCCUGAUUUACUGGCGACAUGGUGACAAGUGAAGUCACCUUUAGACGUGGGAUCAGGUCUUGCAAAUCUCUCUCGAUGAUGGGCAUGUGAAUAAAACUUGUAUUUGAGCAUCCAGAGAUAUUUGUGCAGGAUCAAAAUUAAGAAUGCUAUGCUUUGCUGAUGUUCAGUAACUGAUCUCAAUUGGGAAAGAAAUCAACUAAUUUAAAGCCAUGUUACUAUGGAGAAAUUUCUACCAAAAGGCAAAUCUCUGAUAUUACAAAUCGGGGGAAAAAAGCUCCAUUUCAAUAUUUUGUGAUUUUAAUUCAAUUGCAGUAAAAAUAUUAGUAUUUAUGCUCAGUUUAUUUCUAGAUUUUUCCAGCAUUCCAAAGUGGUCAGUUUAAAAUAAAAUAUUUAAAAACCAAUCUUUAUUAAUGUGUAAGGAGACUUUUUAAAAAAAAAAAAAAAAAUUUUAUCCAUUGCCAAAAAUCAAAUUACAUUAUUACUUUGGAUUAAGGAGUGAACCUAAGUUGUCACCUAUUGCUAUAUUUUGCACUUUAUGCUGUGCAUCUGAUUCCUUGUGUAAGUGUUAAAAUCAUGUCAGUCAUCUUUGUCUUGUACUCGUAAAUACAGGUUAAAGGCAUUUUUGCAUCUACUUUUAAUUAAAUAAAUUUAUUGCUUUAAAUUUAUUUAAUGGAAUACUAGGGGAGAAGGUGAGCUCUGAUCAGAUUGGAUAUCACAAAUUUGCUUUUUUUUCCUCAGUGGAACUGGUGACUAAUAAACCAGCAAAAUGUGGCACUUUAAAAGAUGUCUGCACUCUUGUUAAUGUGAAGUUUGACAUGCAUAAAGAUGCAGAUUACUAAUGUUCUUAAGGAAAGUUAUUCCCUUGAUUAACCGUUUAAUGUUUUUAACUGACAGGUAAUAUGGUUAACACUUAUCUUGUGAAGUGCUAAGUAAACUGAUUUUUAAUAAGUGACUUUGUUUAAAUAUUUUUGAAGCUAUUCUGGUUGGUAGUUGACACUUGGACUUUGAAUGAUCAAAGGCCUAAAAUAGCUGUCACUUGAUGCAGAUUAAUGUUGUUUAUACAUUCAGCCAGAUUAGGCACUGCACAUAAAAACAUGGCUGAUUGCAAGAUGCUACUUUUAUUCGCUGAGUAAUAUUUUGUUCUGAGCUUUAGUAAAGUUUUUUUUGUUUAGCACAAAAUAAUACAAUAGGUCGCACACUAGUGUUUACAAAACUUAGUGAGCAAAACAAAGCUAAACUUACCAGUUUUAAAAUUAAAUAAAAUACAUCUUGCCUUUUGAUCCUGAUAACCUGAUAGUGGCAGAGUUGCAUUUUAAAUAAUGCUGGUUGCAUAUUGUAGCCUAUUAGUUUUACUGUAUGUUAAUUUGUGUUCACUUAAAAUUAAGAUACUUUUUACAUCUUUGGUUUUUCCAUUAUAUACUAACAAGACAAAUCUUUGUUUACAUUUUCUGAAAAAUAUUUGUGAGAUUUUGCACUAUUUUCAAUUAUCUUGAACUUUUGUACAACAGAACAAUCUACAUGUGUUGCUUGUUUUUCUUUGAUUCCUGAAAGUUUGUCGUCUACUUUUUUUAUGUUUGAAUCCUACUGGGAAAAAUGUAUUACUGGUGAUCUAACUUCCCAAAACAUUUUCCGAAACACUGCAAUAAUUUUACUUUUUCUUCAAAAGGCACUUUUCAUUUUGUAUAAAGCUUCAGAUUUGUACCCUUUUUAGUUCAAUUAUGAUAUUCUAUUAAUGCACCUCAUAUAAUCGAUCGUGGUAUCCUCAGGAUUCUGUUUAUUGCAUUUUGAUAUUCUGUUAAUAAACCGUGCAAUUUAUCAGCUGUUUGUUAAAUCUGUAGUUUAUAUUUUUGUAAAAAGCUAUUGUGCUGUAUUUUAAACCUUUUGAAUAUUUCUAAAUGCCAGUGUAAAUUCCAUCAGUGUAUAUUUCAAUAUUGAAGUGGUUAAUCAUGUUUAUUGUUGUAAAAUAAAAUGUCUAUGCAACAUUGCAAUAGUA